GUUCAAAACAGCAGCGAACGACAAACGCGCCUCAUUUCUCUGAUUGCCCGAGUUGCUCGGUGUCCGUCACGGGCUGUGGCGGGCUCCGUGUGGGAGUUCCGUCGCGGAUGGUACAAGCGGAUUUAUCGCGUGGCGUUUUGCAUGAUUGGCAGCGCUGACGGUGAGGACGCCCAGCAGGUCGGUGUGCCCUGCGCCGUUCUGGUGGCUGCUGAGCGCCCUGCCGAACUGAGGAGGAGCAGUGGCAGCGAACAGGAAAGAGCCGGCCUUCAAAGAAUAUCAAUUUCAAUGUCACAUGGUGAAUACAGUGCAUUUUAAAAGCACCUGCCUUACGGUUAGCUCCCGGCCCUUUGACUGGCCCAAGCGCUGGCCUGCACUCUGAAAGGUGAGUAGUGAAAUCACACUGUGCCCUGUCUUUCCCCCCUUUCAUGCAUUCAGUUUGAAACCGUACAUAAAGGAAAAUCAACCAACCAACAUACCGUGGAGAUGACUGUAAUCAGUGUAGUACUAAGACAAAGUGUGAAAAUACGUAAAUAAUGAGACCAUCAAAAGCCAAAGAAAAUGAUCAUAACAAAAUAUAUCCGCCACAUCACACAAGAUCCCAGUUGGGUGCCCGCCCACGUCUUGCUGCUUUUGAUCCUGAUUAAAGUCUCAGCUAAGAGGUAAAAAUGAUUCAAAAAUGUCAGCAGAUUCCAAGGAGAUCAAAGCAGACUGUGAUCCUGUCAGAC